GCAGUCGAGCGGACGGAAUGGGAGCUUGCUCCCUGAAGUCAGCGGCGGACGGGUGAGUAACACGUGGGCAACCUGCCUGUAAGACUGGGAUAACUCCGGGAAACCGGGGCUAAUACCGGAUAACUCUUUUCCUCACAUGAGGAAAAGCUGAAAGAUGGUUUCGGCUAUCACUUACAGAUGGGCCCGCGGCGCAUUAGCUAGUUGGUGAGGUAACGGCUCACCAAGGCCACGAUGCGUAGCCGACCUGAGAGGGUGAUCGGCCACACUGGGACUGAGACACGGCCCAGACUCCUACGGGGGGCAGCAGUAGGGAAUCUUCCGCAAUGGACGAAAGUCUGACGGAGCAACGCCGCGUGAGUGAUGAAGGUUUUCGGAUCGUAAAACUCUGUUGUCAGGGAAGAACAAGUACCGGAGUAACUGCCGGUACCUUGACGGUACCUGACCAGAAAGCCACGGCUAACUACGUGCCAGCAGCCGCGGUAAUACGUAGGUGGCAAGCGUUGUCCGGAAUUAUUGGGCGUAAAGCGCGCGCAGGCGGUUCCUUAAGUCUGAUGUGAAAGCCCCCGGCUCAACCGGGGAGGGUCAUUGGAAACUGGGGAACUUGAGUGCAGAAGAGAAGAGUGGAAUUCCACGUGUAGCGGUGAAAUGCGUAGAGAUGUGGAGGAACACCAGUGGCGAAGGCGACUCUUUGGUCUGUAACUGACGCUGAGGCGCGAAAGCGUGGGGAGCAAACAGGAUUAGAUACCCUGGUAGUCCACGCCGUAAACGAUGAGUGUUAAGUGUUAGAGGGUUUCCGCCCUUUAGUGCUGCAGCGAACGCAUUAAGCACUCCGCCUGGGGAGUACG
rnacentral:rRNA from 1 species